GGGGCAGGAAUCAUCGAGGUGACCUGGGC
rnacentral:piRNA from 1 species